rnacentral:rRNA from 1 species
UACGUAGGGUGCAAGCGUUAAUCGGAAUUACUGGGCGUAAAGCGUGCGCAGGCGGCGGCUCAAGUCAGGUGUGAAAUCCCCGGGCUUAACCCUGGGAAGUUGCGCUUGAAACUAGGUUGCUAGAGUGUGGCAGAGGGGGGUGGAAUUCCACGGUGUAGCAGUGAAAUGCGUAGAGAUGUGGAGGAACACCGAUGGCGAAGGCAGCCCCCUGGGUCAACACUGACGCUCAUGCACGAAAGCGUGGGGAGCG